rnacentral:rRNA from 1 species
UACGGGGGGGGCAAGCGUUGUUCGGAAUUACUGGGCGUAAAGGGCUCGUAGGCGGCCAACUAAGUCGGAUGUGAAAUCCCCAAGCUUAACUUGGGAACUGCAUCCGAUACUGGAUGGCUUGAAUCCGGGAGAGGGAUGCAGAAUUCCAGGUGUAGCGGUGAAAUGCGUAGAUAUCUGGAGGAAUACCAGUGGCGAAGGCGGCAUCCUGGACCGGCAUUGACGCUGAGGAGCGAAAGCGUGGGGAGCAAACAGGG